GCCCCCGUAGCUCAGCCGGAUAGAGCAGCGGUUUCCUAAGCCGGAGGUCGGAGGUUGGAAUCCUCUCGGGGACGCCA
rnacentral:tRNA from 3 species